rnacentral:rRNA from 1 species
GAUGAACGCUAGCUACAGGCUUAACACAUGCAAGUCGAGGGGAAACGACAUCGAAAGCUUGCUUUUGAUGGGCGUCGACCGGCGCACGGGUGAGUAACGCGUAUCCAACCUGCCCAUCACUUGGGAAUAACCUUGCGAAAGUAAGACUAAUACCCAAUGAUAUCCCACGAAGGCAUCGGAAUGGGAUUAAAGAUUUAUCGGUGAUGGAUGGGGAUGCGUCUGAUUAGCUUGUUGGCGGGGUAACGGCCCACCAAGGCAACGAUCAGUAGGGGUUCUGAGAGGAAGGUCCCCCACAUUGGAACUGAGACACGGUCCAAACUCCUACGGGAGGCAGCAGUGAGGAAUAGUGGUCAAUGGGCGAGAGCCUGAACCAGCCAAGUAGCGUGCAGGAAGACGGCCCUAUGGGUUGUAAACUGCUUUUAUAAGGGAAUAAAGUGGGUCACGUGUGACUUUUUGCAUGUACCUUAUGAAUAAGGACCGGCUAAUUCCGUG